rnacentral:rRNA from 1 species
GACGUAGGGCGCGAGCGUUGUCCGGAUUUAUUGGGCGUAAAGAGCUCGUAGGCGGCUUGUCGCGUCGUCCGUGAAAACUUGGGGCUCAACCCCAAGCUUGCGGUCGAUACGGGCAGGCUAGAGUUCGGUAGGGGAGACUGGAAUUCCUGGUGUAGCGGUGAAAUGCGCAGAUAUCAGGAGGAACACCGGUGGCGAAGGCGGGUCUCUGGGCCGAUACUGACGCUGAGGAGCGAAAAGCGUGGGGGAGCGAACAGG